rnacentral:rRNA from 1 species
AUUGAACGCUGGCGGCAGGCCUAACACAUGCAAGUCGAGCGGGGUUUUCGGACCUAGCGGCGGACGGGUGAGUAAUGCGUAGGAAGCUGCCCGAUAGAGGGGGAUACCAGUUGGAAACGACUGUUAAUACCGCAUAAUGUCUACGGACCAAAGUGUGGGACCUUCGGGCCACAUGCUAUCGGAUGCGCCUACGUGGGAUCAGCUAGUUGGUGAGGUAAUGGCUCACCAAGGCGACGAUCUCUAGCUGGUUUGAGAGAAUGAUCAGCCACACUGGAACUGCGACACGGUCCAGACGCCUACGGGAGGCAGCAGUAGGGAAUAUUGGACAAUGGGCGCAAGCCUGAUCCAGCCAUGCCGCGUGUGUGAAGAAGGCCUUCGGGUUGUAAAGCACUUUCAGCGAGGAGGAAGGGUGGUGUGUUAAUAGCACAUCAUUUUGACGUUACUCGCAGAAGAAGCACCGGCUAACUCUGUGCCAGCCGCCGCAGUAACAC